rnacentral:rRNA from 1 species
GAUGAACGCUGGCGGCGUGCCUAACACAUGCAAGUCGAGCGGAGCUAUACGCUGGACGAGGUGCUUGCACCGAGUCCUUGUGUAGUUUAGCGGCGGACGGGUGAGUAACGCGUGGAUAAUCUGCCCGACACAUUGGGAUAACACUUAGAAAUAGGUGCUAAUACCGAAUAAGCACACACUAUCGCAUGGUAGAGAGUGAAAAGAUUUAUCGGUGUCGGAGGAGUCCGCGUUAGAUUAGUUAGUUGGUGGGGUAAAGGCCUACCAAGACUGCGAUCUAUAGCCGAACUUAGAGGUUGAUCGGCCACACUGGGACUGAGACACGGCCCAGACUCCUACGGGAGGCAGCAGUGAGGGAUAUUGCACAAUGGACGAAAGUCUGAUGCAGCAACGCCGCGUGAAUGAAGAAGGCCUUCGGGUCGUAAAGUUCUAUCGAUGGGGACGAAAAAAAUGACGGUACCCAAGUAAGAAGCCCCGGCUAACUACGUGCCAGCAGCCGCGGUAAAACGUAGGGGGCAAGCGUUAUCCGGAAUUACUGGGUGUAAAGGGUGAGUAGCCGGCUAUGUAAGUCACAUGUGAAAUCCCACAGCUCAACUGUGGAACUGCAUGAGAAACUGCGUAGCUAGAGUAUGGGAGAGGUAAGUGGAAUUCCUUGUGUAGCGGUGAAAUGCGUAGAUAUAAGGAGGAACACCAGUGGCGAAGGCGGCUUACUGGACCAAAACUGACGGUGAGUCACGAAAGCGUGG